rnacentral:rRNA from 1 species
UUACCUGGUUUGAUCCUGCCAGUAGUCAUAUGCUUGUCUCAAAGAUUAAGCCAUGCAUGUCUAAGUACAGGCCGAAACAAGGCGAAACCGCGAAUGGCUCAUUAAAUCAGUUAUGGUUCAUUGGAUCUUACCUUGUUUUACUUGGAUAACUGUGGUAAUUCUAGAGCUAAUACGUGAUACCCCAGCUCCGACCGCAAGGAAAGAGCGCUUUUAUUAGAUCAAAACCAAUCGGGCUUCGGUCCGUUCUCACUGUGGUGACUCUGAAUAACUUUGAGCUGAGCGCAUGGUCUUCGAACCGGCGCCAUAUCCUUCAAGUGUCUGCCUUAUCAGCUUUCGAUUGUAGGUUAUGCGCCUACAAUGGCUAUAACGGGUAACGGGGAAUCAGGGUUCGAUUCCGGAGAGGGAGCCUGAGAAACGGCUACCACAUCUAAGGAAGGCAGCAGGCACGCAAAUUACCCACUCCCGGCCCGGGGAGGUAGUGACGAAAAAUAACGAUGCGGGACUCUUCCGAGGCCUCGCAAUCGGAAUGAGCACACUUUAAAUCCUUUAACGAGGAUCUAUUGGAGGGCAAGUCUGGUGCCAGCAGCCGCGGUAAUUCCAGCUCCAAUAGCGUAUAUUAAAGUUGCUGCGGUUAAAAAGCUCGUAGUUGGAUCUCAGUUCCGGACCGACGGUUCACCGCCCGGUGCUUACUGUCGGCUUCCGAACAGCCGCACGCCGGCUCGGCCAGGGUGCUCUUCAUCGAGUGUCCUGGUUUCGGCCGGCACGUUUACUUUGAAAAAAUUAGAGUGCUCAGCGCAGGCUGCAACGCCUGAAUAAUCUGUGCAUGGAAUAAUGGAAUAGGACCUCGGUUCUAUUUUGUUGGUUUUCGGAACCCGAGGUAAUGAUUAAUAGGAACUGUCGGGGGCAUUCGUAUUGCGACGUUAGAGGUGAAAUUCUUGGAUCGUCGCAAGACGGACUACUGCGAAAGCAUUUGCCAAGAAUGUUUUCAUUAAUCAAGAACGAAAGUUAGAGGUUCGAAGGCGAUCAGAUACCGCCCUAGUUCUAACCAUAAACGAUGCCAACCAGCGAUCCGCCGGCGUUAUUCCCAUGACUCGGCGGGCAGCUUCCGGGAAACCAAAGUCUCUGGGUUCCGGGGGAAGUAUGGUUGCAAAGCUGAAACUUAAAGGAAUUGACGGAAGGGCACCACCAGGAGUGGAGCCUGCGGCUUAAUUUGACUCAACACGGGGAACCUCACCAGGCCCGGACACCGGAAGGAUUGACAGAUUGAGAGCUCUUUCUCGAUUCGGUGGGUGGUGGUGCAUGGCCGUUCUUAGUUGGUGGAGCGAUUUGUCUGGUUAAUUCCGAUAACGAACGAGACUCAAAA